rnacentral:rRNA from 1 species
GAUGAACGCUAGCGGCAGGCUUAACACAUGCAAGUCGAGGGGCAGCAUGACACGGAGAUUCGUCGAAGUGUUGAUGGCGACCGGCGCAAGGGUGCGUAACGCGUGAGCAACUUGCCCGUUUCAGGGGGAUAACCGGUGGAAACGCCGACUAAUACCCCAUGGCAUCAUUGGGAGGCAUCUCCUUCUGAUUAAAGAAUUUCGGAAACGGAUAGGCUCGCGUGACAUUAGCUGGAUGGCGGGGUAACGGCCCACCAUGGCUACGAUGUCUAGGGGUUCUGAGAGGAAGGUCCCCCACACUGGAACUGAGACACGGUCCAGACUCCUACGGGAGGCAGCAGUGAGGAAUAUUGGUCAAUGGCCGGGAGGCUGAACCAGCCAUGCCGCGUGAAGGUCACGGCCCUAUGGGUCUUAAACUUCUUUGUAAGGAGCAAUAAGGGUCACGUGUGGUCCGAUGAGAGUACCUUACGAAUAAGCAUCGGCUAACUCCGUGCCAGCA